rnacentral:rRNA from 1 species
UACGGGGGGGGGUAAGCGUUGUUCGGAAUUACUGGGCGUAAAGGGCUCGUAGGCGGCCAACUAAGUCAUACGUGAAAUCCCUCAGCUUAACUGGGGAACUGCGUGUGAUACUGGGUGGCUUGGAUUUGGGAGAGGGAUGCGGAAUUCCAGGUGUAGCGGUGAAAUGCGUAGAUAUCAGGAGGAACACCGGUGGCGAAGGCGGGUCUCUGGGCCGAUACUGACGCUGAGGCGCGAAAGCGUGGGGAUCAAACGGG